CCAAAUAUGUGUGAUGGAACUGGAAGACUCACAAUAUCAGUGGAGCCAAUACUUCUUGAGUUAAAGAAGGUUCUCAUUCGCCACAGUACAUCCCUAUUGUUGUGGGAGUGUCUGUGGGAGUGUCUUUGGCAGUGUCGGUGUGUGUCCUUGUCGCUGUCAUCAUAUUAUGCAGGAGAACCACCAAUAUCAGCCUUGGUCUGAAUACAAUGAACCACCCCACCCCACCAGACAACGAAGACAGGAGUCAACCUGCUGGCAGUAUCACCUAUGCCUCCAUCAACUACAUAAACCAAUAUUCCCCCAAGAGAGUUGUCGCCCAUGAGGAUGCAGUGACCUAUGCCUCAGUUAUGACCUCUACUGACAGAGGAAGAGAAACAGAGAACCCUGCUGACCCCAACUCCCUCUAUUCUACUGUCAAUAAACAUCAGGGAGUUCAGCCAUAUGAGCAACAGUCAUUAAUUUAAAC
ensembl:lncRNA